rnacentral:rRNA from 1 species
ACGAUGAAUCUUCUAGCUUGCUAGAAGUGGAUUAGUGGCGCACGGGUGAGUAAUGCAUAGGUUAUGUGCCCUUUAGUCUGGGAUAGCCACUGGAAACGGUGAUUAAUACUGGAUACUCCCUACGGGGGAAAGUUUUUCGCUAAAGGAUCAGCCUAUGUCCUAUCAGCUUGUUGGUGAGGUAAUGGCUCACCAAGGCUAUGACGGGUAUCCGGCCUGAGAGGGUGAUCGGACACACUGGAACUGAGACACGGUCCAGACUCCUACGGGAGGCAGCAGUAGGGAAUAUUGCUCAAUGGGGGAAACCCUGAAGCAGCAACGCCGCGUGGAGGAUGAAGGUUUUAGGAUUGUAAACUCCUUUUGUUAGAGAAGAUUAUGACGGUAUCUAACGAAUAAGCACCGGCUAACUCCGUGCCAGCAGCCGCGGUAAUACGGAGGGUGCAAGCGUUACUCGGAAUCACUGGGCGUAAAGAGUGCGUAGGCGGGGUAAUAAGUCAGAUGUGAAAUCCUGUAGCUUAACUACAGAACUGCAUUUGAAACUGUUACUCUGGAGUGUGGGAGAGGUAGGUGGAAUUCUUGGUGUAGGGGUAAAAUCCGUAGAGAUCAAGAGGAAUACUCAUUGCGAAGGCGACCUGCUGGAACAUUACUGACGCUGAUGCACGAAAGCGUGGGGAGCAAACAGGAUUAGAUACCCUGGUAGUCCACGCCCUAAACGAUGGAUGCUAGUUGUUGCCUUGCUUGUCAGGGCAGUAAUGCAGCUAACGCAUUAAGCAUCCCGCCUGGGGAGUACGGUCGCAAGAUUAAAACUCAAAGGAAUAGACGGGGACCCGCACAAGCGGUGGAGCAUGUGGUUUAAUUC